rnacentral:rRNA from 1 species
CCUACGGGUGGCUGCAGUGAGGAAUAUUGGUCAAUGGGCGAGAGCCUGAACCAGCCAAGCCGCGUGAGAGAGGAAGGUACUGAGGAUUGUAAACCUCUUUUGCCGGGGAGCAAAAACCGGGACGCGUACCCCAACGAGUGUACCCGGAGAAAAAGCAUCGGCUAACUCCGUGCCAGCAGCCGCGGUAAUACGGAGGAUGCGAGCGUUAUCCGGAUUUAUUGGGUUUAAAGGGUGCGCAGGCGGCGGGUUAAGUCAGCGGUCAAAUUUCGGGGCUCAACCCCGACAAGCCGUUGAAACUGGCAGGCUAGAGUGGGCGAGAAGUAUGCGGAAUGCGUGGUGUAGCGGUGAAAUGCAUAGAUAUCGCGCAGAACUCCGAUUGCGAAGGCAGCAUGCCGGCGCCCAACUGACGCUGAGGCACGAAAGCGUGGGUAUCGAACAGGAUUAGAUACCCGAGUAGUC